rnacentral:rRNA from 1 species
GACGAACGCUGGCGGCGUGCUUAACACAUGCAAGUCGAACGGAAAGGCCCUGCUUUUGUGGGGUGCUCGAGUGGCGAACGGGUGAGUAACACGUGAGUAACCUGCCCUUGACUUUGGGAUAACUUCAGGAAACUGGGGCUAAUACCGGAUAGGAGCUCCUGCUGCACGGUGGGGGUUGGAAAGUUUCGGCGGUUGGGGAUGGACUCGCGGCUUAUCAGCUUGUUGGUGGGGUAGUGGCUUACCAAGGCUUUGAAGGGUAGCCGGCCUGAGAGGGUAACCGGCCACAUUGGGACUGAGAUACGGCCCAGACUCCUACGGGAGGCAGCAGUGGGGAAUAUUGCACAAUGGGCGGAAGCCUGAUGCAGCAACGCCGCGUGCGGGAUGACGGCCUUCGAGUGGUAAACCGCUUUCGCCUGUGACGAAGCGUGAGUGACGGUAAUGGGUAAAGAAGCACCGGCUAACUACGUG